CUAUUGACCAUUUUGAAAAUUUAAAGUCGCACUCUUAAAGAGUGUCUCCCCCAAAAAAUGUAUUACUGAUCUGGAUACCACGGUUAUCACAAACGAAAAAAAGGGUCAUGUUCUUACAAAUUUGUGUGUUUUAGAUAAAAUGUAAUCAUUGUCAAUUUUGAAAGACAUAAUUUAAUUAGGGGUAAGUUGAUAAAGUUACUCCCUCAAUUUUAUUUUAGUUGACCCUUGUUGACUUGAUACUCUCCUUAAUAAAAUACUCCCUACAUCCAACAAUACUUGUCUACUAUUCACUUGACACACAGGUUGAAAAACAAUAAAUAAUAGAGGUAAUUUUACCAUAUCAUCCUUUGAAUAUAAUUAAUUUAUUAUUUUAAAAAAUGCAUUGGGUAAUGAAUAAUACCAAGUGUAAAAUGGGCAGAUUAUUCCUUGAUUUUUUAUUUUAGUAUAGUGAACAAAUAUUGUUGAACAGAGGGAGUAUUUAUUACGGAUCUAUUUUACUAAAUUAGUCUUAUUAAUUAUACUUUAAAAGUAUAAAUUUGAAUAUUAUCCACUUAUAUAAUCAUUUAAUGGUAGAGGUAGUAUUGGAAAGACAUAAUAGUUUUUUCUUAAUUUUAUAAAUUGGACACUUAAUAAGAGGGCCAACUAAAAUGAAAUGGAGGGAGUACCUUUUAUUUUCUAGGAGUUACACCCUCCAUUCAAAAUUACUUGUAAUUAAUUUCCUAAUUGUAUUUCCACUUUUAUUAUUUUAAUCUUAACAUUAAUUGUUUAUUCUCCAAACUAAUUUCAAGACACAAUAAUAACCAUCAAUUAAUAGGGGCACUAUGAUAAAAAUAGUCAUGUUAAUAAUUAUCUUAGUAGAUGUGCUAAAUCUACAAAGAGAAGGGGAGCUUUGAAGUAACUGGUAAAGUUGAUGCCAUGUGACCAGGAGGUCACGGGUCAAGCCUUGGAAACAGCCUCUGGCAGAAAUGCAAGGUAAGGUUGCGUACGAUACACCCUUGUGGUGGGGCCCUUCCCCGGACACCGCGCAUAGCGGUAGCUUUAGUGCACCGGGCUGCCCUUUUAGUAGAUGUGCUAAGUCAAACUGUGACAAGUAAAAAUGAACGGAUGAAGUGAUAAUUUGUUAAAAGGUGUGUCCGACCCAAAACAACACGUUAUGGAGGGAGUAUAUAAGCAAAGAGUUCUUCCACCAUCUCGACACAAAGGACAGGGAUUAAGACCCAAUUAAUACUAUACUCGUUUGGUUGGGAACUAAUUAUCCUGGCCAAGGGUAACUUAUCCCAUCACGUAUAUUAUAAAUUUGAAUAUUAUCCACUUAUAUAAUCAUUUAAUGGUAGAGGUAGUAUUGGAAAGACAUAAUAGUUUUUUCUUAAUUUUAUAAAUUGGACACUUAAUAAGAGGGCCAACUAAAAUGAAAUGGAGGGAGUACCUUUUAUUUUCUAGGAGUUACACCCUCCAUUCAAAAUUACUUGUAAUUAAUUUCCUAAUUGUAUUUCCACUUUUAUUAUUUUAAUCUUAACAUUAAUUGUUUAUUCUCCAAACUAAUUUCAAGACACAAUAAUAACCAUCAAUUAAUAGGGGCACUAUGAUAAAAAUAGUCAUGUUAAUAAUUAUCUUAGUAGAUGUGCUAAAUCUACAAAGAGAAG
rnacentral:lncRNA from 1 species